rnacentral:misc_RNA from 1 species
UUUCCGUAGGUGAACCAGCGGAGGGAUCAUUAUUGUAGAAACGAUGAAAAAGGACUGUCGAUGAUACGACUGGUCGUGCAGGCCCGAGGGGCGGCAGACACAGCCAUCUCACCCCUACGGGCACCACCGCGUGGGUCCCCCUUGGGCUUGUUCGGCGGGGGGCUUACGGCGUCCCGCACACUUUGAUUUCAGUGAAAAAUGUAUUUAUAAUUUUUGCGAACACGCAAUCAAUACAAGUUUCAACAAAGGAACCCUUGGCUAUCGCAGCGAUGAAGAAUG